AAUGAUCAAAUUGGAUUAUUGUUAAUUAGUGGGUCUGUCUACUUCUGUACAAUGAUACAGAAGUCUUGUUGGCUGAAUUUAUCUGUUUAAGUGGUCUGUAUUCAGAUGUAGAAAGCCAAAUGUCCUGUUUGAAAUCAAAACAACAAAAAAAAAUCUUUGGUGGAAAGGAGAAGGCUGAAUAUGAAAAUUAGUUUACACAUGUGGAAGUAAAAUAAUGAUUUUGAUAUAGUCUUUUGUUGAACUUGAUAAAUGGGUGCUGUGAUCUUAAGUAUCUUUGAGGACAAGUAACACUGGCUAUGAAACAUAGCUACUUAUUAAUAUACUAAGAGAUGAUAUACUGGGCUUAUGAAAAUGGAUAUCCUAUGGCCUAUUAGAUGAGAAGAAAUAGCUCAUUUGAAAAAUCUCUUCAUAGCAGAUUUAGAAUCUUAUGACGAUUUAUAACAUCUCAAUAGUGCUCAUCCAGGAAACGUUUUGUCCAUUGCAUGCUGCAUAUACCGUUACAGAACUGAUGGAUAUAGACUGACUUACUCUAUGCAGGUUGACUUUUAUCCUUGAGAAUAAAAUGAGUGAGGAUAGGGUAUGCCUUCUCUGAAUUUGUCAACAGGGUCUUUGAGCAAUGAUACCUUCCUGAACCACCAGAGAAGCAUCCGUGGCUAUAUUUGAUCAAAGGGAUCCAUACUUUUCAAUCCCUGACACUGUCAUUUGGGAGUGAUGAUGUUGCUGUACAGUGUCAAAUACCAGUGUAAAGUUAUGCAUCAUGGCAAUACAAGAGAGGUUUCAAGUUCGCUGGGGCUUUAUCUGACCUAGAAGUUCUUUCUGAUGUUAGUUAUACCUCAACCUAGAAUAAAGGUGAUAGGUUUGUGGGUGGAAAACAGAUUUCCUCUUUUCCUUCUAUUGAGUACCCUGUAGUGAUUUCUUUGCCUCGGUUUUAAUGUCCUUCUAUAUUGAUUUUUGUCUCCUUGAUUCUCUUUCGGGAGGAAAACAAAGUUAUUAUUAUCUCUGCCCAAUAGUUCAAAUCAUCAUCAUACUCUUACUCUCCCCUCUCCUCCUUUUCCUCCUCCUCCUUUUCUUAUUUAAACAAGCAUCCAUAUAAAGAGCAUCAUCUCAGAUCUAGCACCAAUAUCUAAACAGCAUACCUGUCUCUGGAGCUUUUCUGGCUUAAGUAUCACUAUAAAAACUUAGUUAUCUCCUUCAUUUCUUUACUUCUGUGUGUGUGUGUGUGUGUGUGUGUGCGCGCGCGCGCGCGUGCGCACGUUUGUAUGUGUGUAUGUACAUGUACGUAUGCACUUUCAUGUGAGCACAAAUCUUCACUC
rnacentral:lncRNA from 1 species